rnacentral:rRNA from 1 species
CGUAAGCGAGCGCAGGCGGUGAUUUAAGUCUGAUGUGAAAGCCCCCAGCUCAACUGGGGAGGGUCAUUGGAAACUGGAUCACUUGAGUGCAGAAGAGGAGAGUGGAAUUCCAUGUGUAGCGGUGAAAUGCGUAGAUAUAUGGAGGAACACCAGUGGCGAAGGCGGCUCUCUGGUCUGUAACUGACGCUGAGGCUCGAAAGCGUGGGUAGCAAACAGGAUUAGAUACCCUGGUAGUCCACGCCGUAAACGAUGAGUGCUAAGUGUUGGAGGGUUUCCGCCCUUCAGUGCUGCAGUUAACGCAUUAAGCACUCCGCCUGGGGAGUACGACCGCAAGGUUGAAACUCAAAGGAAUUGACGGGGGCCCGCACAAGCGGUGGAGCAUGUGGUUUAAUUCGAAGCAACGCGAAGAACCUUACCAGGUCUUGACAUCCUUUGACCGCACCAGAGAUGGUGUUUCCCCUUCGGGGGCAAAGUGACAGGUGGUGCAUGGUUGUCGUCAGCUCGUGUCGUGAGAUGUUGGGUUAAGUCCCGUAACGAGCGCAACCCUUAUUGUUAGUUGCCAGCAUUCAGUUGGGGCACU